AUCAAUAAGCGGAGGAAAAGAAACCAACAGGGAUUGCCUUAGUAACGGCGAGUGAAGCGGCAACAGCUCAAAUUUGAAAUCUGGCCCUCGGGUCCGAAUUGUAAUUUGUAGAGGAUGAUUUUGGUGCGGUAUCUUCCGAGUUCCUUGGAACAGGACGCCUUAGAGGGUGAGAGCCCCGUACGGUUGAAUGCCUAGCCUCUGUAAAUCUCCUUCGACGAGUCGAGUAGUUUGGGAAUGCUGCUCUAAAUGGGAGGUAAAUUUCUUCUAAAGCUAAAUAUUGGCCAGAGACCGAUAGCGCACAAGUAGAGUGAUCGAAAGAUGAAAAGCACUUUGAAAAGAGGGUUAAAUAGCACGUGAAAUUGUUGAAAGGGAAGGAUUUGUGACCAGACUUUUUCUGGGCGGAUCAUCCGGGGUUCUCUCCGGUGCACUUUGCCCAGUAAAGGCCAGCAUCGAUUUUCGGCGGCGGAUAAAAGCAGUGGGAAUGUGGCUCCCUACGGGGAGUGUUAUAGCCCAUUGUAUAAUACGCUGCUGGGGAUCGAGGUACGCGCUUCUGCAAGGAUGCUGGCGUAAUGGUUAUCAAUCACCCGUCUUGAAACACGGACCAAGGAGUCGAACAUUUAUGCGAGUGUUUGGGUGUUAAACCCUCACGCGUAAUGAAAGUGAACGGAGGUGAGAGCCCGUACGGGUGCAUCAUCGACCGAUCCUGAAGUUUUCGGAUGGAUUUGAGUAAGAGCAUAACUGUUCGGACCCGAAAGAUGGUGAACUAUGCGUGGAUAGGGUGAAGCCAGAGGAAACUCUGGUGGAGGCUCGCAGCGGUUCUGACGUGCAAAUCGAUCGUCAAAUCUGCGCAUGGGGGCGAAAGACUAAUCGAACCAUCUAGUAGCUGGUUACCGCCG
rnacentral:rRNA from 1 species